CUCCUAUUCUAGCCUUCUCCUCCUCCCAGCUGCAUCUCCACACAUCAUUCUCCACCUCUAAGCCGAAGAAACCGAGGGAGGAGGCUCUCAACUUCUCCGUCGCCCUCAUCCUUGCCGCCGGCCGCGAAGAAGACGACUAUUGUACUCUACUCUCCUCACCAUGCCGAGGAUUUAUCCUUUUAAUUUCAUCCUCUAUCGUGCAGCGGAUCGACGGGAACGCCGUCGUGCCCCCGGCACUCCGGAGCGCGCUCCAAGCGCCGCCGCAGCCGACAUCGUCGUCGUUCCGACCACUGUAGACCAAACCAAGCCGAGCCGUCGCGCCAACGUCUUCUCCUUGAAGUCUUCCUCAAAAACCCUCAAAAAUCCUAGGCAAUGGCGCAGCAAGUGCGGAGAUCGGCUACCGUCUUCUUCACCUCCGGUCGCCGUCGCCAUUGUCGAUUCCGCCUCCUCCGGUGAGCCAUUGUCCGAUUCUUCGCGUAUACACCAUCCCUGGGACCUCACUAACCCCAUGAAAACACAUGCAUGUCAAUUCGAUGAGUGGAUCGAGCCGUUGCCGUCUUCCCGGAGCUCUACACCAUCGCCGGACCAUCUUCUUCACCGCUGCCGCUGUCCAGACUUUCCCGCGCCUCGUUCAAGGUUCGAUGCAAGCGAACUUGUAGAUUUUUGGAUCAACAUCUCAACACCAGAAAUUCAUCGGAUCAAAUGAUGGCAUAGUUGAUCAGUCCUGCUCGAUCUAGUUCAGCCCUGCAGAAUCGGGCAGAGUCAACGUGAAAAGACAACAACAACAUUGUUUGAUUAGCGCCUCGGCCAUGGCUGAUGUCUGUAGAUUCUGACGGAAGGUUGGUUAGAGAUUUGUAUUACAGCAUCUGAUCUACUCCCUCCGUUUCACAAUGUAAGUCAUUCUAGCAUUUCCCACAUUUAUAUUGGUGUUAAUGAAUCUAGACAUAUAUAUCUAUUUAGAUUCAUUAAUAUCAAUAUGAAUGUGAAAAAUGCUAGAAUGACUUAUAUUGUGGAACGGAGGGAGUACAAAACUAUCGAUACAAUACUGCAUUGGGUUGCACCUUGAUGUGCAGAGCAUUACCGUACCACAUUUGAUUGAUUUGAAGGAAAUUACGGAAGUAUAAAGAACAUGUAAACAGAGCAGAUAAUUACAGGAUUAGAUCGAUUUGUAGACCAGAUAAUUACAGCAAAAAGAUGAGGACCAGCAGUACCUAUCAGUGAAA